AACGGCCGUACCAUGCUGAAUAUACCGGUUCUCGUUAGAUCACCGAAGUUAAGCAUCAUUGGGCGCGGUCAGUACUUUGGUGGACCACCUGGUCCACCAGGUGGUGGUACCACCUGGGAACACUGCGUGCCGU